rnacentral:rRNA from 1 species
UACGUAGGGUCCAAGCGUUAUCCGGAAUCACUGGGCGUAAAGCGUGCGUAGGCGGGUAUUUAAGUGAGAUGCGAAAUCUUGUGGCUCAACCAUAUAGACUGUAUCUCAUACUGGAUACCUGGAGGACAUGAGAGGCUAGUGGAAUUACUGGUGUAGCAGUGAAAUGCGUAGAUAUCAGUAGGAACACCAAUGGCGAAGGCAGCUAGCUGGCAUGUAUCUGACGCUAAGGCACGAAAGCGUGGGGAGCGAACAGG